AGUGGCUAACGGGUGAGUAAUGCGUGACCAACCUACCCUAUGCUUCAGAAUAGCUCCUGGAAACGGGUGGUAAUGCUGGAUGCUCCAACUUGACGCAUGUCUUGUUGGGAAAGUGUUUAGUGGCAUGGGAUGGGGUCGCGUCCUAUCAGCUUGUAGGCGGGGUAAUGGCCCACCUAGGCUUCGACGGGUAGCCGGCCUUAGAGGGCGGACGGCCACAUUGGGACUGAGAUACGGCCCAGACUCCUACGGGGCAGCAGAA
rnacentral:rRNA from 1 species